rnacentral:rRNA from 1 species
ACGGAAGGCAGCAGUGGGGAAUAUUGCACAAUGGGGGAAACCCUGAUGUAGCGACGCCGCGUGAGUGAAGAAGUAUUUCGGUAUGUAAAGCUCUAUCAGCAGGGAAGAUAAUGACGGUACCUGACUAAGAAGCCCCGGCUGACUACGUGCCAGCAGCCGCGGUAAUACGUAGGGGGCAAGCGUUAUCCGGAUUUACUGGGUGUAAAGGGUGCGUAGACGGUUUGGCAAGUCAGAGGUGAAAUCCCGGGGCUUAACUCCGGUGCUGCUUUUGAAACUGUCAGACUAGAGUGCUGGAGGGGCAAGCGGAAUUCCUGGUGUAGCGGUGAAAUGCGUAGAUAUCAGGAGGAACACCGGUGGCGAAGGCGGCUUGCUGGACAGUAGCUGACGUUGAGGCACGAAAGCGUGGGGAGCAAACAGGAUUAGAUACCCUGGUA